rnacentral:rRNA from 1 species
GAGUUUUGAUCCUGGCUCAGGAUGAACGCUAGCUACAGGCUUAACACAUGCAAGUCGAGGGGCAGCAUUUUUAGUUUGCUUGCAAACUAAAGAUGGCGACCGGCGCACGGGUGAGUAACACGUAUCCAACCUGCCGAUAACUCGGGGAUAGCCUUUCGAAAGAAAGAUUAAUAUCCGAUGGUAUAUUAAAACCGCAUGGUUUUACUAUUAAAGAAUUUCGGUUAUCGAUGGGGAUGCGUUCCAUUAGUUUGUUGGCGGGGUAACGGCCCACCAAGACUACGAUGGAUAGGGGUUCUGAGAGGAAGGUCCCCCACAUUGGAACUGAGACACGGUCCAAACUCCUACGGGAGGCAGCA